rnacentral:misc_RNA from 1 species
GAUGAAGAACGCAGCGAAAUGCGAUAAGUAAUGUGAAUUGCAGAAUUCAGUGAAUCAUCGAAUCUUUGAACGCACCUUGCGCCCUUUGGCCAUUCCGAAGGGCAUGCCUGUUUGAGUAUCAUGAACACCUCAACUCUCAUGGCUCGCCAUGAUGAGCUUGGACUUUGGGGGUCUUGCUGGCCUGUGGUCGGCUCCUCUCAAAUGGAUCAGCUUGCCAGUGUUUGGUGGCAUCACAGGUGUGAUAACUAUCUGCGCUUGUGGUUUUCCAUCAGAUAACCUUCAGUGAUGGAGGUUCGCUGGAGCUCAUAAACGUCUCCCCUAAGCGGGGACAGCCCUUUGAAUGUUUGAUCUCAAAUCAGGUAGGACUACCCGCUGAACUUAAGCAUAUCAAAAGCGGAGGA